AUGUGUGACCUAUCUAGUAAUGUCUCCAAACCCUUUGGAGAUGGUGAAGUUGAGAAGGAACAUGAAGUGUCUCACGACCCUUCAUCAUAUACAGACAAUAUUGAGAUUUAUAUUUCUCCAGUCAAAGGCCUUCACGAGAUUGUUCAAGGUAAUCCUACUAAAACUCUUAUUGUUGGUGAGAUUGUUGUUGCUAAUGAUAAUUAG